UUUCAGUUAUUUUUUUAUUUGAUUUUCUUUGUUUUUAGUUGUUGUAAACAUGGUAGUUUUCUCACUAGUUAUCACUGGUAAACGAAAAGACUGACUGCAUUUUUGUAUAUUUAUUUUAAAACUAGCUACCUUACUGAUACUCUUAAUAGUUCCAAAAGUUUUACAGUUUGUUUUCCUGGCGUUUAUGAGUAUAAAAUUAUAUUAGCUGGAAAUUAUGAUAAUUUUGCAUCCUCCCUUCAAGGAUGGAUACCUCUUAUUUCACUUCCUUGAUUAAUUGCAUUGUCUCAAAUGUUCAGAAUAGUACUAAAUAAUUGCGACGAUCUAAGAAAUCCUUAUUUCUGACUCUAAUGGAAACAUUUCCAUUAUUUAUCCACUAAAUACUGGCCUUAAAUUUUCAAUAUGUAUUUAUCUUAUACAUUCAGGCAAUAUCCAUUCCAUCCAACUUCACAAAUUUUUUAAAAAAUCAGGAAAAGAUUUGGAAUUAAAUGUUUUUGGCAGCUAAAAGAGUAUGUUAACUUAUUUACUUAUAUCAAAUUAUCCUUGCAAUCUAGAAUGAAUGACACUUAUUCAUGAUCUACUAUCCUUUCAGUGUCUUAUCCAAUUCUAUUUACUAACAUUUUGUUUAGGAUGUUUUUUUGUUGACAUUCAUAAGUAAGAUUGGUCAGUAGCUUUCUUUUAGUUUAGUAAGAUUUGGCAAUAGUGUAAUGUUGUUUGUACCAUGUAUUUGGAAUAUUUCCUUUUCCUUUAAACUGUUCCAGGGCUCAGUAACAAAAUUUAUUCUGUAUAGAUGUUUAAAAUUUGCUCACAAAAUUAUUCUAUGAGGACUUUUUGAUAAGUGGCUUUUAAAAGCUUUUUCAUUUUCUUCUUUCUUUCAAGUUAAGAAAGACUUGUUUCAGUCUAAUUUUAUUAAAAGUGUUCACUCCUACUUUUGUAUUGCUUUGUUAAAAUUUUCUAUUGUUAA